GACCUUGAGAUCAAGACCUGAGCUGAAAUCAAGAUUGGACAUUUUUGGAAGUUCCACCAAGAUGCCCGGGGGAUUCACCUUAUAGCACCAGGAAACAUCAUCAAUCUCACGGGUGGCAGAAACCUGGGCACAUCUUUUCUUGGCCUCCAGAGAGUUCCAGUGGACUUCCGUCUUCUUCCCAUGGAAAAAUUACCUUUAUUUGCAAUUCAGUAUCUUUAUUCCAUUUAAAUUUGUGCUUCUUGGGGCACCUGGGUGCCUCAGUCGGCUAAGCCUCCGACUUCGGCUCAG